CAGAUCCUUAACCCACUGAAUGAGGCCAGGGAUCAAACCCAAGUCUUCAUGGAUACUAGUCAGCAGUGCACGUUGAAAUCCAGGGAGGAGAGCUAUGAGAAGUGGAGGCAGAUCAUCCAGGGCCACGACAAUGUGAUGCUGGGAGAUGCUGCACAGCUUGCUGAUGUUCACGCCAAUAAGCCAGAGUUGGCUCUUUACCUGUGCAGCUUCAGGCUGGCCAUGAGACUGCAGCUGGGGCCUCAGUGAGAUUCCCGUGGCCCUUCCUGACAUCAGUGAGAAUUUGAAACCUGUGCAAAACGCAGCCAAACCCCCAGGCCAGUAGCAGGAAACAAGCAGGCUCAAGCCACAGGCUCACCCAGGGGUGGUGACCUUUGAGAACAGAAACCGCACCUUCUGAACCCAUGGCCCAGCCUGAAGCCUAGCGUGCACGAACCGAGGAGAGAAGUUGCCUGUCACCCAGGGAUAGUGGAGUUGGCUUUUCUUCAGGAACUCUUCUCUUAAUGGAAAAAAGAAAGCCACCCCAUCGACGUCAAGUGACUCUUACACAACUGCGGCAACUCCGAGAAUCGUGUAAAUAACCCCAGAACAUAUGGAUUGAAUUUCCUCAACUUAUCCAGGAAUGUAGUAAGUUACGGCCAUGGAGGAAGGCUGCCACUCGGCCCUGGCAUUCAGAACACUUGAAAGAGUGGUCUCCCCACUCCAGGGACCCCUUAGCCUGGAGCACUCCCGUCCAUCUCAAGUUCCAAGGGCUCCUGCCCUCAGCAAGGCACAGCCUGGGCUGGGUCAUGGUGGCAGCAUCCCAGGCAGCCCCCGGCCCUGCCUUCCUUCAGAGGAAGACUGUGCUUCUAACCACACAAACUGGGCAGAAUGUCUGCACAUUAGUUCAUUCAUUCAUCCAACAUUCCACCAGUAUUUAUUGAGCAUGGGGGUGGGGGUGGGUGGGGAGGAACAGCACAGUGAACAAAAAGGCAUGGUCCUGUUUUCACGUCCAGUGAAAGAACUUUCUAGCACUCCCAAGUUAUCGAAGCUUUUGAAUAGGGGCGAGUUCCCAGCAGAGGCUGACAGAGACUCAAGCAUCAGAUGAAGAAUGGGUGGCUGACCUCUGCGAUUCCUCCCAGGCGCAAGGUUUGAUGAGGUUCGCAGUCCCUGGGACGCUGCCCCAGCUCCCUUCCCACCUGUGCAGGUGGCUUCGGAUGGCACAGCUUUGGGCUGAAGGGCAUGGGGAGUCCCUGGAGAAGCAACAGUGCUUCUAGGAAAAGCAGAAACCCAUCUCUCCUGCUGAAAAAACCCUUUCCAUUCUUAUUUCGUUUUAUAUUCUGUCUUCUCUGUCUCCUCAGAAGAGAUCUGAGAACUUUCUUCUGAGUGAGGAGGAACUUGGAAGAGUAAAACACAAACACAAACAUAAAAGUUCUGGAUGAGGAGUUCCUGUCAUGGCUCAGUGGUAACAACCC